AAUAGAUACCCUGGUAGUCCACGCCGUAAACGAUGAGUGCUAAGUGUUAGAGGGUUUCCGCCCUUUAGUGCUGCAGCAAACGCAUUAAGCACUCCGCCUGGGGAGUACGGCCGCAAGGCUGAAACUCAAAGGAAUUGACGGGGGCCCGCACAAGCGGUGGAGCAUGUGGUUUAAUUCGAAGCAACGCGAAGAACCUUACCAGGUCUUGACAUCUCCUGACAACCCUAGAGAUAGGGCGUUCCCCUUCGGGGGACAGGAUGACAGGUGGUGCAUGGUUGUCGUCAGCUCGUGUCGUGAGGUGUUGGGUUAAGUCCCGCAACGAGCGCAACCCUUGAUCUUAGUUGCCAGCAUUCAGUUGGGCACUCUAAGGUGACUGCCGGUGACAAACCGGAGGAAGGUGGGGAUGACGUCAAAUCAUCAUGCCCCUUAUGACCUGGGCUACACACGUGCUACAAUGGAUGGUACAAAGGGCUGCGAGACCGCGAGGUUAAGCGAAUCCCAUAAAACCAUUCUCAGUUCGGAUUGCAGG
rnacentral:rRNA from 1 species